rnacentral:rRNA from 1 species
UACGUAGGGGGCAAGCGUUGUCCGGAUUUAUUGGGCGUAAAGAGCGUGUAGGCGGCCAUGCAGGUCCGUUGUGAAAACUCGAGGCUCAACCUCGAGACGCCGGUGGAAACCGUAUGGCUAGAGUCCGGAAGAGGAGAGUGGAAUUCCUGGUGUAGCGGUGAAAUGCGCAGAUAUCAGGAAGAACACCCGUGGCGAAGGCGGCUCUCUGGGACGUGACUGACGCUGAAACGCGAAAGCGUGGGGAGCAAACAGG